rnacentral:rRNA from 1 species
AGAGUUUGAUCCUGGCUCAGAAUCAACGCUGGCGGCGUGCCUAACACAUGCAAGUCGAACGAGAAAGUGACUUCGGUCACUGGAAAGUGGCGUCCGGGUGAGUAACACGUGGGUAAUCUACCCUCGGGUGGGGAAUAACGGAUCGAAAGAUUCGCUAAUACCGCAUAAUGCAGCGGCACCUAAUGGUGAAUAGUUGUUAAAGCGGGGGAUCACAAGACCUCGCGCCUGAAGAGGAGCCUGCGGCAGAUUAGCUAGUUGGUGAGGUAAUGGCUCACCAAGGCUUCGAUCUGUAGCUGGUCUGAGAGGACGGCCAGCCACACUGGCACUGACACACGGGCCAGACUCCUACGGGAGGCAGCAGUGGGGAAUUUUGGGCAAUGGGCGAAAGCCUGACCCAGCAACGCCGCGUGAGGGAGGAAAUCCUUCGGGAUGUAAACCUCGCAAGCAAGGGAAGACAGCUAGAGAUUUAAUAAAUUUCUAGUCCGACGGUACGUGCUAGCC